GCCCAGCCGUAAACUCUUAAUUACAUUCUAAAUCGCCCGGGAACUACGAGCUAAGCUUAAAACCCAAAGGACUUGACGGUACCCCACAUCCCCCUAGAGGAGCCUGUCCUAUAAUCGAUAAUCCACGUUUAACCUCACCAUUUUUAGUUAAUCAGCCUGUAUACCUCCGUCGUCAGCUUACCACGUGAGCGUUAAUUAGUGAGCCUAAUGUUACUUCACCAAUACGUCAGGUCAAGGUGCAGCACAUGAAAUGGAAAGAGAUGGGCUACACUUUCUAUUUUAGAAGAAACGAAAAACUACUUAUGAAAACUAGUUAGAAGGCGGAUUUAGCAGUAAAAAGGAAUCAGAACAUCCAUUUUAACCCGGCACUGGGGUGUGUACACACCGCCCGUCACCCUCUUCAAAGCUUAUAAUAAAGUGCAUAACAAACUAAAGCAUAACAGAAGAGGCAAGUCGUAACAUGGUAAGUAUACCGGAAGGUGUGCUUGGAAA
rnacentral:rRNA from 1 species